UACGUAGGGUGCGGGCGUUGUCCGGAAUUAUUGGGCGUAAAGGGCUCGUAGGCGGUCUGUCGCGUCGGGAGUGAAAACUCAGGGCUUAACCCUGAGCCUGCUUCCGAUACGGGCAGACUAGAGGUAUGCAGGGGAGAACGGAAUUCCUGGUGUAGCGGUGGAAUGCGCAGAUAUCAGGAGGAACACCGGUGGCGAAGGCGGUUCUCUGGGCAUUACCUGACGCUGAGGAGCGAAAGUGUGGGGAGCGAACAGG
rnacentral:rRNA from 1 species